GCGAGUGAAGCGGCAAUAGCUCAAAUUUGAAAUCUGGCUCCCUUUGGGGGUCCGAGUUGUAAUUUGCAGAGGGUGCUUUGGCGUUGGUGGCGGUCUAAGUUCCUUGGAACAGGACAUCGCAGAGGGUGAGAAUCCCGUUUGUGGUCGCCUGCCUUCGCCGUGUAAAGCCCCUUCGACGAGUCGAGUUGUUUGGGAAUGCAGCUCUAAAUGGGAGGUAAAUUUCUUCUAAAGCUAAAUACUGGCCAGAGACCGAUAGCGCACAAGUAGAGUGAUCGAAAGAUGAAAAGCACUUUGGAAAGAGAGUCAAACAGCACGUGAAAUUGUUGAAAGGGAAGCGCUUGCAGCCAGACUUGCCCGUAGUUGCUCACCCAGGCUUUUGCCCGGGGCAUUCUUCUGCGGGCAGGCCAGCAUCAGUUUGGGCGGUCGGAUAAAGGCCUCUGUCACGUAUCUUCCUUCGGGAUGACCUUAUAGGGGAGGCGACAUGCGACCAGCCCGGACUGAGGUCCGCGCUUCUGCUAGGAUGCUGGCGUAAUGGCUGUAAGCGGCCCGUCUUGAAACACGGACCAAGGAGUCUAACAUCUAUGCGAGUGUUUGGGUGUCAAGCCCGAGCGCGUAAUGAAAGUGAACGGAGGUGGGAACCCUUGGGUGCACCAUCGACCGAUCCUGAUGUCUUCGGAUGGAUUUGAGUAAGAGCAUAGCUGUUGGGACCCGAAAGAUGGUGAACUAUGCUUGAAUAGGGUGAAGCCAGAGGAAACUCUGGUGGAGGCUCGCAGCGGUUCUGACGUGCAAAUCGAUCGUCAAAUUUGGGCAUAGGGGCGAAAGACUAAUCGAACUAUCUAGUAG
rnacentral:rRNA from 1 species